rnacentral:rRNA from 1 species
CACGUAGGGGGCAAGCGUUGUCCGGAUUCAUUGGGCGUAAAGAGCUCGUAGGCGGUUCGAUAAGUCGGGUGUGAAACCUCCAGGCUCAACCUGGAGACGCCACCCGAUACUGUCGUGACUAGAGUCCAGUAGGGGAGUGUGGAAUUCCUGGUGUAGCGGUGAAAUGCGCAGAUAUCAGGAGGAACACCAGUGGCGAAGGCGCCACUCUGGGCCGUAACUGACGCUGAGGAGCGAAAGCGUGGGUAGCAAACAGG